AAUAAAAAAAGAAAAUCUGGCGUGUAUUAUAUUAUAUCAUAAAAAAGGCACUAAUGACGAGAUAUGAUUAAAUAAAACAGGUAUUAUAUAAUAGCAAUAAAAGUCAUCCUUUGUAAAGCAGUAACCUACGUAUCUUACUAUUUAUACAAUGAUAUUGGAUAGCCAUUGAAACGGAAUUCAGAGUUUAUUAUGAAAGGAAAAUUCGUUUAUUGCUAAGACAUUCAAGGAUUUAGAAAGUGAUUCUUCAGCUAUUCAACCUCCUCUGAAAGAAAACUUGAUCUCGAUUGCUGAAAUAAUCUUGAAUCUGUAGUACUUACCGACAUCACCAUCACCUAGAAUUGUGUGAUGGAGAAUGAAGAGCACCAACAGUACCGAGCCUCCUCGCCACCACUGUUUACGGCCCAUAGAUCUUCCUAUAAUUACAUAUAUCCAAGUUAGUUUGUUAUGCAAGAUUAAGUAGAUAAGUCCAUAAGAAUAUUCUUUUCCUUUAAAUUUCAGUCUUAUAAUAUGACAUUAUGGUUCUUUUUGUAAAUGAAAAAAAUACAAAGAUAGCUUGGACGGGGAGAAAGAUAGUGCAAAGAUAAUUGAGAAAGAUUGUUUCUUUUUUCAGAAAGUUCAUAGUUCAUAGUCGAUAGCAUAGUUAUUUUCAUUAAGCUAGGCCGGGCUGAUGCUUCCCUCGAUUAAUGAAAAAGCGUAGAUCUUUAUUUUUAAUGAGACGAA